GGAGUCACCAGUCGGCGCGCGCAAUCCGCUCUUACUUCGGAGCAGAGGAGUUCGCAGCCUAGAGUGACACCUUCCCGCCCUCUUUUGCCGGAAGUGACGCAAAGGGAGACCGGGGCGUCUCAAAGGCUGACAGGAUGGUUGUUGGUGAAACCCUUGUAGAGGUGGUGAGAGGCAGGAUGGUUUUGUGGAAAGGACACUGACCCUGAGGUCAGAGGAUCUGCUUCUGUUCCUCUGUGGGACUUUGGAACCAGCUGUAGCAGGUGGUUUCUUUCCUUGUCCUCUUACUCCCCCAAUUGGCACAAAAGGAAGGGAUUGCUACAAAAGGAAGACUUCAAUACUCCAAGGAAUGUUUCCCAUCUAUAUCCUACCUGACAGAAAAAUCAGUGUUGAGAGGACACAUGGAUUAUUAAGAGAUGACUUAUUGGGAAACUUUUCUGUCUUUCCUGUCCUCCUGGUGGCAGUUACUGAAAACUCCAGCCAUCAAACCAUGGAGAAAAUAUCCUCUCAGGGAGUAGCCUUGUAGACUUGGUACCAUACCAUAGAAUCCAAGGGGAAGACAAGGUUUGAGUCCCUGAAAAGUUUGGUGAGAGUUUGGCAGGUUGAAGGAGGGUAAGCAGCUCUCAUAGUUAGGCCCAGGGAGUUUGGGAAAGUGAGAGCAGAGAUGGGGUGCUGUUUAGGCAGAGGUGUAUAUACUCUAGACUGGGGUCUGGCUAGGUCUAAGGAUAAUCUUGCAAUAAUGAUUACUGAUCCUUUCUGUUCCUCUGGUCAAAGGACUGUGAAAUUUAGAUUACUCCACCCUACUUAGAUCUUACCUUCUGGAGAAGAUGAAAUUGUAAUCUCCUGAUUGAACAAUGAAGCAGAGAGUUGGCUGGGCGUUGGAAGGUGUGCUGGGCCUUUUGGCAUCUUGGCAUGGCUACAGCUAUUGUCUGGUUCAGUGAAAGCACCUCACAGCUCAAUGCAGCUCAGGAGAAGAGAGUGGGUGAGAAUGGAAGGAUCGGAGAAUGAAUUCAGCAUCCUGCAAUCAGGAGGACCUUCCAAGGGUGAGCCAGAGAAGGUCUGGGGAACAGACACAUCUAGGGAUGGGUGGUUUAUGUGUCCAGAAAUACUGGAAGGGUCCAGGGCAUCCUAUUGAUUUCCUGCUACAGAGGAAUUCCUGGCUGAAAUCUCCAUCUGACUGAUACAAAUGAGCAUGUUCAUUUUCUCUUGGCUUCCUGAGGGAUCAUUAUAACCUUGAUUCUCCUCUUCUCCAACUUCAAAUGCAGCACACAAACCCCUGUAACUAGCUAGCUAAACUGCCCGAGACUCUUCCUCCUGACCUUCUCUUCCCAACCCUUUCCCAGGCUCCUUAAGAGUAUUCUCUCCUCAGAAUGCCAUAGACCAUGGGCCAAGUAGAAGAGGGAGCCCACUAUUCACUACAGAGAAGCAUUUGGGUUCUAGUCUCACCUUUUAUAGGUGGGCACUAACUGUAGGUCACUUCCCUCUGGGCCUCAGUUUUCCCAUGAUGGGCAUGUAGUAAACCCUUCCAGCUCUAAAAUAAAUCCUAGGUUACUAAAUAAAAUGCAAUUUCUGGUCAGUCUUGGAAAGCCUGGCAAAAAGAAAGGCUAAACAUUUGGCUGUCUUUGGAGCCAAGGGCUCUUCUACAGAGACCCGAAUCCUAGCCUUCAGAUUCAUCUAUAGACUUCUGAAGACAAAAUCCAUUCCCAUAACUGCAGACCUUUGAGGCUGCAGUGGAAUGCCUACAAGCUAUCUGGCUGCUAACCUUUGUGGCAGGAGGUAAUUUGCCCAGUCCUAGCCAUUCCUUAAAUCCAGGCUCCAUCAUUUACGGGUCCUGGUUUAGCCAGUUAGCAUCAGCCUCUUGCACUCUCUGAUUCCUGCCCCUCUGAACCAACCAUAUGUAAUUAGUUCCUUGAAUCAGUUUAUUCCCCCCCCCCCCAAGCUUGGGAGUGGGAGUGGGGCAUUAAUUUUACUUCCUUUUCUCCAGAAACACCUUCAGUCCCAGGUAGCUUCAGUUUGCUAGCCUAGGAUAUUUGGCAUACCCAAACUUCUGGCUAGACCCUGAGACAAAGAGAAGGAAGAGGUUUGUUUUGUUUGGCUCCCAAGGCCAGAAGCAAGGACAAUGCAAAUUGUAAAGAAGAAAAUUCAAGCUUGGCAUGCCAAAAAUAUAACAAUAAGGGCUAUCUAACAGUGGACUGAGCCUCCUGGGGAAAUAGUGAGUUCCCCUUCAUGAGAGGCAUUCAAGCAAAGGUUAAAUUAUGUAGAAGGGAUUCUUGUUCAGGUCCAAGUUGGACUAAAUGGCCUCUGGGAUCCUUCCAACUCUUCAAUUCUAAGGAGACAUAAAAGGGGGCACAGGCCAGCAGCCCCACCUCUCACAGUCCCACACAUCUACUAAAAGCCACCUGGACCUCAACUCCAGGGCAUAAGUACAACAGCAGCCAAUCAGGACACCAAAGGAAUUCCUUGGAUAAUCCCUGGGGACCAUCUUCAGGACUGGAAAGUAGAAGAAGCUACUGGAAACUGAGCACAGGAAGCCUGGUGAAACUCACUACUCACUCAUUCAUUCAUACAUUCAUUCAUUCAAAUUUCUUAAGAA